rnacentral:rRNA from 1 species
CCUACGGGUGGCAGCAGUCGAGAAUCAUUCACAAUGGGGGAAACCCUGAUGGUGCGACGCCGCGUGGGGGAAUGAAGGUCUUCGGAUUGUAAACCCCUGUCAUGUGGGAGCAAAUUAAAAAGAUAGUACCACAAGAGGAAGAGACGGCUAACUCUGUGCCAGCAGCCGCGGUAAUACAGAGGUCUCAAGCGUUGUUCGGAAUCACUGGGCGUAAAGCGUGCGUAGGCUGUUUCGUAAGUCGUGUGUGAAAGGCGCGGGCUCAACCCGCGGACGGCACAUGAUACUGCGACACUAGAGGAAUGGAGGGGGAACCGGAAUUCUCGGUGUAGCAGUGAAAUGCGUAGAUAGCGAGAGGAACACUCGUGGCGAAGGCGGGUUCCUGGACAUUAACUGACGCUGAGGCACGAAGGCCAGGGGAGCGAAAGGGAUUAGAUACCCGAGUAGUC